rnacentral:lncRNA from 1 species
CCCAAUUAUUCAAUUUUUGAUGAAAUCAAACAAAGUUUAAUUUUGGACCCUUUGGGCCCUUUAUUCCUAAAUUGUUGGGACCAAAACUCCCAAAAUCAAUACCAACCUUCCUUUUGUGGUCAUAAACCUUGUGUUUAAAUUUCAUUGAUUUCUAUUUACUUAAACUAAAGUUAUUGUGCAAAAACCAAGAAUAAUGCUUAUUUGGGCCCUUUUUUGGCCCCUAAUUCCUAAACUGUUGGAACCAAAACUCCCAAAAUCAAUCCCAACCUUUCUUUUGUGGUCAUAAACCUUGUGUCAAAAUUUCAUAGAUUUCUAUUGACUUCAACUAAAGUUAUAGUGCGAAAACCAAGAAAAUGCUUAUUUGGGCCCUUUUUGGCCCCUAAUUCCUAAAAUGUUGGGACCAAAACUCCCAAAAUCAAUCCCAACCUUCCUUUUGUGGUCAUAAACCUUGUGUUAAAAUUUCAUAGAUUUCUAUUUACUUUUACUAAAGUUAGAGUGCGAAAACUAAAAGUAUUCGGACGACGACGACGACGACGCCGACGCCGCCGCCGACGACGACGACGCAGACGACGACGCCAACGUGAUAGCAAUAUACGACGAAAAUUUUUUCAAAUUUUGCGGUCGUAUAAAAAAUAA